rnacentral:rRNA from 1 species
CAACUUUCAGCAACGGAUCUCUUGGCUCUCGCAUCGAUGAAGAACGCAGCGAAAUGCGAUAAGUAAUGUGAAUUGCAGAAUUCAGUGAAUCAUCGAAUCUUUGAACGCACCUUGCGCCCUUUGGUUAUUCCGAAGGGCAUGCCUGUUUGAGUAUCAU